AUGCCGCGGUGAAUCCGUUCCCGGGCCUUGUACACACCGCCCGUCACACCACGAGAGUCGGCAACACCCGAAGUCGGUGAGGUAACCCUUAGGGGAGCCAGCCGCCGAAGGUGGGGCGGAUGAUUGGGGUGAAGUCGUAACAAGGUAGCCGUAUCGGAAGGUGCGGCUGGAUCACCUCCUUUCU
rnacentral:rRNA from 1 species